UACGUAGGGCGCAAGCGUUAUCCGGAAUUAUUGGGCGUAAAGAGCUCGUAGGCGGUUUGUCGCGUCUGCCGUGAAAGUCCGGGGCUCAACUCCGGAUCUGCGGUGGGUACGGGCAGACUAGAGUGAUGUAGGGGAGACUGGAAUUCCUGGUGUAGCGGUGAAAUGCGCAGAUAUCAGGAGGAACACCGAUGGCGAAGGCAGGUCUCUGGGCCAAUACUGACGCUGAGGAGCGAAAGCGUGGGGAGCGAACAGG
rnacentral:rRNA from 1 species